rnacentral:rRNA from 1 species
UGUUUCGGCUAGGGGGCCAUCCCGGCUUACCAACCCGAUGCAAACUGCGAAUACCGGAGAAUGUUAUCACGGGAGACACACGGCGGGUGCUAACGUCCGUCGUGAAGAGGGAAACAACCCAGACCGCCAGCUAAGGUCCCAAAGUCAUGGUUAAGUGGGAAACGAUGUGGGAAGGCCCAGACAGCCAGGAUGUUGGCUUAGAAGCAGCCAUCAUUUAAAGAAAGCGUAAUAGCUCACUGGUCGAGUCGGCCUGCGCGGAAGAUGUAACGGGGCUAAACCAUGCACCGAAGCUGCGGCAGCGAACGUAUCACUUAAAGCGAUUCAGCGGGUUACGAUUGACGGAGCGAAGCGACGUCAAAGCGUAUACAAAGUCGAGUCGGUUUAAGGAUACGUUCGUUGGGUAGGGGAGCGUUCUGUAAGCCUGUGAAGGUGUGUCGUGAGGCAUGCUGGAGG